UAGGGAAUCUUCGGCAAUGGGGGGAACCCUGACCGAGCAACGCCGCGUGAGUGAAGAAGGUUUUCGGAUCGUAAAGCUCUGUUGUUAAGGAAGAACGAGUGUGAGAAUGGAAAGUUCAUGCUGUGACGGUACUUAACCAGAAAGCCACGGCUAACUACGUGCCAGCAGCCGCGGUAAUACGUAGGUGGCAAGCGUUGUCCGGAUUUAUUGGGCGUAAAGCGAGCGCAGGCGGUCAAUUAAGUCUGAUGUGAAAGCCCCCGGCUCAACCGGGGAGGGUCAUUGGAAACUGGUUGACUUGAGUGCAGAAGAGGAGAGUGGAAUUCCAUGUGUAGCGGUGAAAUGCGUAGAUAUAUGGAGGAACACCAGUGGCGAAGGCGACUCUCUGGUCUGUAACUGACGCUGAGGCUCGAAAGCGUGGGUAGCAAACAGG
rnacentral:rRNA from 1 species